rnacentral:rRNA from 1 species
AUGGCAAGCCGAGCGCUCACUCCCUUCCAGCUCACUGCAACCCUCUUCGUGGCGCUCCUCGCCACGUGCCACGCCGGCAGCAUCGCCGUGUACUGGGGCCAGAACGACGGCGAGGCGUCGCUGGCCGAGACGUGCGCGUCCGGGAACUACGAGUUCGUCAUCCUCGCUUUCCUCCCCAAGUUCGGCAAGGGCCAGACCCCGGAGCUGAACCUUGCCAGCCACUGUGACCCUUCGUCAGGUGGCUGCAGAGCCCAGAGCAAGGACAUCAAAGCGUGUCAGCGACGCGGCGUGAAAGUCCUGCUCUCCAUCGGCGGUGGCGACGGGAGCUACGGCCUCUCGUCCCCUGGAGACGCCCGGCAGGUUGCCAUGUACCUUUGGAAUAACUACCUGGAUGGCGCGUCGUCGUCCGGUCCCCUCGGCAACGUCGCGCUCGACGGCAUCGACUUCGACAUCGAGCUCGGCAGCGCCAAGUUCUGGAACAACCUCGCCAGGGACCUCAAGGACCUGGGCAAAAACGGCGGCAAGACGGUGCUCCUGAGCGCGGCGCCGCAGUGCCCAUUCCCCGACGAGUGGGAUGGCGGUGCGAUCAGCACGGGGCUGUUCGACUUUGUUUGGGUGCAGUUCUACAAUAACGAGGAAUGUCAGUUCAGUGCGGGGCGUAAGGCAUUCAUGGACGCGUGGAAGAAGUGGGAGUCGGUGCCGGCGGGGAAGAUCUUCCUGGGGCUUCCGGCCUCCAAGGACGCGGCGGGCACGGGGUUCAUCCCUGCCAGCGAGCUCACUUCGCGUGUGUUGCCACUCAUCAAGGGUUCUCCAAAGUACGGUGGUGUCAUGUUGUGGUCCAAGUUCUAUGACGACCGCACGGGCUACAGCUCCGCCAUCAAGAGUGACGUGUGA